CCUUCGGGGGGCAGCAGUAGGGAAUUUUGCGCAAUGGGGGAAACCCUGACGCAGCAACGCCGCGUGAUCGAUGAAGCCCUUCGGGGCGUAAAGAUCUGUCAGCGGGGACGAAACCUGACGGUACUCACAGAGGAAGCACCGGCUAACUCCGUGCCAGCAGCCGCGGUAAUACGGGGGGUGCAAGCGUUGUCCGGAAUCAUUGGGCGUAAGGAGUCCGUAGGUGGCACGGUAAGCCUGGUGUGAAAGGCGGAGGCUCAACUUCCGUAGGGCACUGGAUACUGGAGGGCUUGAGUGCGGUAGAGGUAAGGGGAAUUCCUGGUGUAGCGGUGAAAUGCGUAGAGAUCAGGAGGAACAUCGGUGGCGAAGGCGCUUUGCUGGGCCGUGAUUGACGCUGAGGAACGAAGGCCGGGGUAGCAAAUAGGAUUAGAUACCCCAGUAGUC
rnacentral:rRNA from 1 species